AUUGAACGCUGGCGGCAGGCUUAACACAUGCAAGUCGAGCGGAGUGAUGGUGCUUGCACUAUCACUUAGCGGCGGACGGGUGAGUAAUGCUUAGGAAUCUGCCUAUUAGUGGGGGACAACAUCUCGAAAGGGAUGCUAAUACCGCAUACGUCCUACGGGAAAAAGCAGGGGAUCACUUGUGACCUUGCGCUAAUAGAUGAGCCUAAGUCGGAUUAGCUAGUUGGUGGGGUAAAGGCCUACCAAGGCGACGAUCUGUAGCGGGUCUGAGAGGAUGAUCCGCCACACUGGGACUGAGACACGGCCCAGACUCCUACGGGAGGCAGCAGUGGGGAAUAUUGGACAAUGGGGGGAACUCUGAUCCAGCCAUGCUGCGUGUGUGAAGAAGGCCUUAUGGUUGUAAAGCACUUUAAGCGAGGAGAAGGCUCUUUUGGUUAAUACCCAAGAUGAGUGGACGUUACUCGCAGAAUAAGCACCGGCUAACUCUGUGCCAGCCGCCGCGGUAA
rnacentral:rRNA from 1 species